CGUAGGGUGCGAGCGUUAAUCGGAAUUACUGGGCGUAAAGCGUGCGCAGGCGGUUUUGUAAGACAGAUGUGAAAUCCCCGGGCUCAACCUGGGACCUGCAUUUGUGACUGCAAGGCUAGAGUACGGUAGAGGGGGAUGGAAUUCCGCGUGUAGCAGUGAAAUGCGUAGAUAUGCGGAGGAACACCGAUGGCGAAGGCAAUCCCCUGGACCUGUACUGACGCUCAUGCACGAAAGCGUGGGGAGCAAACAGGAUUAGAUACCCUGGUAGUCCACGCCCUAAACGAUGUCUACUAGUUGUCGGAUCUUAAUUGGUUUGGUAACGCAGCUAACGCGUGAAGUAGAUCGCCUGGGGAGUACGGUCGCAAGAUUAA
rnacentral:rRNA from 1 species